UACGGAGGGUGCAAGCGUUAUCCGGAUUCACUGGGUUUAAAGGGUGCGUAGGUGGGCAGGUAAGUCAGUGGUGAAAUCUCCGGGCUUAACCCGGAAACUGCAUUGAAUACUAUUCUGCUCGAGGUUUGGAGGGGGGACUGGAAUUCUCGGUGUAGCAGUGAAAUGCGUAGAUAUCGAGAGGAACACCAGUGGCGAAGGCGAGUCCCUGGACAACACCUGACACUGAGGCACGAAAGCUAGGGGAGCAAACAGG
rnacentral:rRNA from 1 species